ensembl:rRNA 5S_rRNA 5S ribosomal RNA
GCUUACGGCCAUACCACCUUAGGCACGCCCGAUCUCGUCUGAUCUCGGAAGCUAAGCAGGGUCGGGCCUGGUUUAGUACUUGGAUGGGUGACCGCCUGGGAAUACCAGGUGCUGUAAGCA